rnacentral:rRNA from 1 species
CUUUCAACAACGGAUCUCUUGGUUCUGGCAUCGAUGAAAAACGCAGCGAAAUGCGAUAAGUAAUGUGAAUUGCAAAAUUCAGUGAAUCAUCGAAUCUUUGAACGCACAUUGCGCCCGUCAGUAUUCUGGCGGGCAUGCCUGUUCGAGCGUCAUUACGC